AACCCAUGGUGAGGACACUUCUGUAAGAGAUCCUUAUACCUUUCCCAUGCUUCAUACAGUAACUCCAUGUCUUGUUGGAAAAAAAAAAAUUUAUGUCACUUCUUAUCUU